UACGUAGGGGGCAAGCGUUGUCCGGAAUCAUUGGGCGUAAAGCGCGUGUAGGCGGCCCGAUAAGUCCGCUGUGAAAGUCCAGGGCUCAACCCUGGAAUGCCGGUGGAUACUGUCGGGCUAGAGUCCGGAAGAGGCGAGUGGAAUUCCUGGUGUAGCGGUGAAAUGCGCAGAUAUCAGGAGGAACACCAAUGGCGAAGGCAGCUCGCUGGGACGUGACUGACGCUGAGGAGCGAAAGCGUGGGGAGCGAACAGG
rnacentral:rRNA from 1 species